rnacentral:rRNA from 1 species
CGUAGGGGGCAAGCGUUAUCCGGAUUUACUGGGUGUAAAGGGAGCGUAGACGGAGCAGCAAGUCUGAUGUGAAAGGCGGGGGCUCAACCCCCGGACUGCAUUGGAAACUGUUGAUCUUGAGUACCGGAGAGGUAAGCGGAAUUCCUAGUGUAGCGGUGAAAUGCGUAGAUAUUAGGAGGAACACCAGUGGCGAAGGCGGCUUACUGGACGGUAACUGACGUUGAGGCUCGAAAGCGUGGGGAGCAAA